rnacentral:rRNA from 1 species
AACGCUGGCGGCGUGCCUAAUACAUGCAAGUGGGACGCAAGGGAACACACUGUGCUUGCACACCGUGUUUUCUUGAGUCGCGAACGGGUGAGUAACGCGUAGGUAACCUGCCUAUUAGCGGGGGAUAACUAUUGGAAACGAUAGCUAAUACCGCAUAAUAUUAAUUAUUGCAUGAUAAUUGAUUGAAAGAUGCAAGCGCAUCACUAGUAGAUGGACCUGCGUUGUAUUAGCUAGUUGGUAAGGUAAGAGCUUACCAAGGCGACGAUACAUAGCCGACCUGAGAGGGUGAUCGGCCACACUGGGACUGAGACACGGCCCAGACUCCUACGGGAGGCAGCAGUAGGGAAUCUUCGGCAAUGGGCGAAAGUCUGACCGAGCAACGCCGCGUGAGUGAAGAAGGUUUUCGGAUCGUAAAGCUCUGUUGUAAGUCAAGAACGUGUGUGAGAGUGGAAAGGU